AGCAGGUUGUCGCUGUAGGUGGAGUGAAUGCCCCACUUCUGGUGGGGCGUCAGGAAGUUCAGCGCCUUCUCCUUGUUGCC
rnacentral:tRNA from 1 species